rnacentral:rRNA from 1 species
AUUGAACGCUGGCGGAAUGCUUUACACAUGCAAGUCGAACGGCAGCACGGGGCAACCUGGUGGCGAGUGGCGAACGGGUGAGUAAUACAUCGGAACGUGCCCAAUCGUUGGGGAUAACGUAGCGAAAGUUACGCUAAUACCGCAUACGAUCUACGGAUGAAAGCGGGGGAUCGCAAGACCUCGCGCGAAUGGAGCGGCCGAUGUCAGAGUAGGUAGUUGGUUGGGUAAAGGCUCAACAAGCCAACGAUCUGUAGCUGGUCUGAGAGGACGACCAGCCACACUGGGACCGGGACACGGCCCAGACUCCUACGGGAGGCAGCAGUGGGGAAUUUUGGACAAUGGGCGCAAGCCUGAUCCAGCCAUUCCGCGUGCAGGAUGAAGGCCUUCGGGUUGUAAACUGCUUUUGUACGGAACGAAACGGCUCUCUCUAAUACAGGGGGCUAAUGACGGUACCGUAAGAAUAAGCACCGGCUAACUACGUGCCAGCCGCCGCAGUAA